GGGGUCGCAGAGUCAGACAUGACUGAGUGGCUGAACUGAACUGAGGCGUCCAACAUGAAAAGAUUUAACUCAUCCUGUGAACCCGUUGCUAAGCUUUUGAGAAGGGUCUCCAGAUAUCCCUGUUCAAAGAGUUCCCCCAAAUCCCCAGAGGCCAUCCUCAGCCCGGUUUUCCAUCCCCAAAGCAUCUUCCAAUAAUUCAAAGAUUCUCUUCCACAACAGGAGUCCCUUGUGCUUACUUAAAACAAGAAAACCAUUUUUCUCUCAUUUGAUGCUUCUGGGCCUCUGUUUUUCUGGUGCUCUGCUUGUCCAUGGAGCUGCAGCUGCCCUGCCCACCUCAGGGAGCUCUGACUCCGUGGAGUCUGGGGGCUUCUCCACACACAGGCUGCAAGCACAGCAGGCCCCCUCCUCCACCCACUGCCAGCACGACCUCGCCUCCCCUCUGCUCACUGCCUGCCUUGGGCAUCCCUGGUACCAUCACCCCAGACCAAGCCACCUCCUUGAGCAAAGCCACAUCAUCCUGGGACUCUGAAACUCUGGCUUGGGCCCACUGCCUGCAGAACCAGACUGCUGUGGGUUCUAAAGGACACAUAAAGGGGUUCUGUUUGUUUUGGCAUCUCGCCAAGCAACAGAAGCAAUGAGACUGAAGGACAUUCCUUUGAUGGGGGGAGGGGGAAGGCUGAAGAAGGGGAGGCUGGGAAACAAAAUGGCCGCUCAGUGAUGACUUCCAGGGCUGAGCCGACUCAGAAGAAAAGGCCAGUAAAGAGGAAGCUUGACAAUGAAAGAUAACAGCUCUACAAAUAUUUGACACAGAGAACUAGCAUGGCCCUGGGUUAACAUAUCAACAGCUCUGUGCCCUGCAGGGAGAGCAGGUGUCCUGAGAGCAGAGCUGGGCUCUCGUGAUGCCAAGGGACUCAUGUGGUCCCCUCACACCUGAAUUUGCCAGCAGUAUGAGCAAGAUAUGGCUGCAUAUCUGCAUCAGCUCUCUGCCACAGCCAGGUCUUCACCAAAGGAGCCAGGAAGCGAAUCGGACAGAAGAAAGAUGCGGGCUUCAGGGCUCCUUCAGCCCGUGCAGAGCCGCCACCUGGCGCAUCCAGCCUUCUCCUCCGAGGAAGUCUGCCCAGUAUAGGCUGCUUCGCUGGGGUUCCAGACACCUGGAGACUAACUUGGCAGCCAGUCCUUGGGCAAAUCAGCCCAGAGGACCCAACAGGAGGCAGCUGCUGAGAGAGGCUGGAAGGCUGCAAUCACAGAGCCACUUCAAGGAGCUGCCCUGUCCAGCGGCUGUGGCGGCAGGGGCAGAACUCGGAAGCCCUCCCCGCAGUGAGAAGCCAAUCUACAGAGAUGGCUGACUUUGACUAGUCGGAGGUCCUAACUGCAAGGAGUUGGGAGAGAUGUUCAUGAGAAGGGUAUUUA